AAAAAACAGAGAGAGAUUUGACAAAAAGUUGACUUUUUGAUCCGUUGCUCGUAUGGACGAUCGGAGACCGCGGUUGCGUUCAUCUCGUCGAGACGAACCCAUUUUGCUAUUCAUAUGUCCGUUCCGAGCACUUUGUGACCCGUAGCAAGCCUAAUAAAUUUAGACCGUUGGUUGUUUUAUAAAAAAAUAAAAAAAAAUUGGAUAAAUACCGGAUGGAUCGGCCCUCAACCCGAUCCAUCCAGCCUCGUGUUUAUCCACUCGCUCAUUUCUUUCUUUCUCUCUCUCUCCCAGCCAGCUUGUGCCGUGCUGUCGCCGAGCGCCGUCGUCCACCUGCCGUCGCCGGCCUGCUCGUCGCCGCCACCGCCGCGCCGCUGUUGCUCGCCGUCGCGCUGCCGCGCGCCUGCGUGCUGCGCUGCGUGCUGCCGCCGCCGCGUGCUGCUGUCUGCUUGCCGUGCGUGCGCGUCGCGUGCUGCUGCGUGUCGCUGCCGAGCCGUCGUGUCGUCGUGCCGCUGUGCUUUGUGCCGGCUGCCGCAUGCUGUGCACUAACCGAAGCAAGCCAGGAAGAGAGAAGCUAGAAGAAGCAAGGAAGAAAGAAAGAAGAAGCAAGAAAGAAGAAGCCAGGAAGGAAGAAAGGAAAAGAAGGAAAGAAAAGAAAAGAAAGAGAAAAGAAAAAAGGAGAAAAAGGGAAAAAGGGGAAAAGAGGAGAAAGUUGGAAAUUUCGUAAUUUUGUUGGAUUCCUCGUCGAUUCCAUCGAAGGUGAUUCCUCGGUGGUACUAUUUCCGGACGUUCUUGAUCGAAUUUUCUUCAUCGUCGGUAAAGGCAAGUGAAUGUAUUGUAUGACUAUGCUUUAACCUAAUAUUGGGUUGCCUACAUUCUUUAAUUACAGUGCAUUCAUCUAAUCUGAAUGACUGAUUCUGGGCUGAGCACUAUGUUGUUUACGUUUCCAGAAGUUUACUCGAUGAUUGAUUUAUGAAGUGCAGUAUGUUUAGAUGUUGACGUGCAUUUUGGGGAUGGAUCUUGGUAGCUGCACACACUACCUCAUCACCUUGUUGGUAGCUCAACCGGUGUUAUAAAUGGUGUUUUUGGUGGUCUGUCGUUUGCUUGGUUCAUGUUGUGGUGAGACGCUGGUAGCGUCGUGAAGGUUAUAUAUAUGCUGGUUAUAUCUGUUUCUGCCUGUCUGUGAUAUUUCUUUUGGUCAGUUAUACCUCUUUAUAGAGGAAAUGCUGCCAAAAUGUCCUAUUUUUCAUAUAAAUAGGCUUAGUUGUAAAGUAGGGUGUUACAGCUUGGUAUCAGAGCCUAGGCUUUAGAUCCUAGGUAAUUGAAUUAUAAACCUGACACACUUGCACAAAUAGGAUGGGUAUGGGAUGCAUUGCAUUGCAUACGUCUUGUUUAUCUUUGUUCGCUUAUGUUCACUAUCUCAUAUAAGUACUAUUGAAGUUGUUUGUUUGAUUGUCCACAUAUUCUUUAGUGUUUUAUCGUUGAUAUAUAUUGUUAAAUUGUUGAAGUUAGUUCCGUUGGAAUGGUGAAAUUGUCAGGGCGUUAAAUUUGUUACCUUGGCCAUUAGAACCUGAGAAGCUUCAGAGGAUCAAUAGUAUAAUUGUUGUAUGUCACUGCAGAUGGGUUAAGUGGAGGGCCCCCAUGAUGCCUUUUCUGCAUUGCCAGGUGAGGUUGACCAAGAGUUAGGUUUGCGAUCCAAUUAUCCACAUACAGAGCGAAUA